rnacentral:rRNA from 1 species
AGAGUUUGAUCCUGGCUUAGGACGAACGCUAGCGGCGGGCUUAAUACAUGCAAGUCGAGGGGGCAGCAAUGUCACCGGCGAACGGGUGCGUAACACGUAUGUAACCUACCUUUUACUAGAGGAUAUACCAGAGAAAUUUGGGGCAACACUCUAUAUGCACACUGACUGGCAUCAGUUAGGGUGGAAAGGCAACGGUAAGAGAUGGACAUGCGUCUGAUUAGCUAGUUGGUGAGGUAACGGCUCACCAAGGCGACGAUCAGUAACUGGUCUGAGAGGAUGAUCAGUCACACUGGCACUGAGACACGGGCCAGACUCCUACGGGAGGCAGCAGUAAGGAAUAUUGGUCAAUGGACGGAAGUCUGAACCAGCCACGCCGCGUGGAGGAAGAAGGUUCUCUGGAUUGUAAACUCCUUUUGCCGAGGGCUAAGAAACGGGUAUAUCCCGUCGUGAAAGUACUCGGUGAAUAAGCCACGGCUAACUACGUGCCAGCAGCCGCGGUAAUACGUAGGUGGCAAGCGUUGUCCGGAUUUACUGGGUUUAAAGGGUGCGUAGGCGGUUCGAAAAGUCAGUCGUUAAAGGCAGCAGCUUAACUGUUGUAAGGCGAUUGAUACUGCCGAACUUGAAUUAUUGGCAGGUUGUCGGAAUGCGUAGUGUAGCGGUGAAAUGCUCAGAUAUUACGCAGAACGCCGAUUGCGAAGGCAGAUAACUACCAAUAGAUUGACGCUGAGGCACGAAAGUGUGGGGAGCGAACAGGAUUAGAUACCCUGGUAGUCCACACUGUAAACGAUGAUAACUAGAUGUUCGGGAGUAAUCCUGAGUGUUCAAGCGAAAGCGAUAAGUUAUCCACCUGGGGAGUACGACCGCAAGGUUGAAACUCAAAGGAAUUGACGGGGGCCCGCACAAGCGGUGGAGCAUGUGGUUUAAUUCGAUGAUACGCGAGGAACCUUACCUAGGCUAGAAUGUGCGUGAAUGAUAGUGAAAGCUAUCAGUCCUUCGGGACACAAAACAAGGUGCUGCAUGGUUGUCGUCAGCUCGUGCCGUGAGGUGUUGGGUUAAGUCCCGCAACGAGCGCAACCCCUAUUGUUAGUUGCCAACAGGUUAAGCUGGGAACUCUAACAAGACUGCCUUCGCAAGGAGUGAGGAAGGUGGGGACGACGUCAAAUCAUCAUGGCCCUUACGCCUAGGGCUACACACGUGCUACAAUGGACGGUACAGAGGGCAGCUACUUAGCAAUAAGAUGCGAAUCUCACAAAGCCGUUCUCAGUUCGGAUUGGAGUCUGCAACUCGACUCCAUGAAGCUGGAAUCGCUAGUAAUCGCGGAUCAGCCAUGCCGCGGUGAAUACGUUCCCGGGCCUUGUACACACCGCCCGUCAAGCCAUGGGAGCUAGGGGUACCUGAAGUCGGUAGUCGCAAGACGCUGCCGAGGGUAAAACUGGUGACUGGGGCUAAGUCGUAACAAGGUA